rnacentral:rRNA from 1 species
UACGUAGGGGGCAAGCGUUGUCCGGAUUUAUUGGGCGUAAAAGGCUUGUAGGUGGCCACGCCAAGUCGGAUGUGAAAUCUCCCGGCUCAACUGGGAGGGGUCAUUCGAUACUGGUGGGCUCGAGGCCGGUAGGGGGAAGCGGAAUUCCCGGUGUAGUGGUGGAAUGCGUAGAUAUCGGGAGGAACACCAGUGGCGAAGGCGGCUUCCUGGACCGGUUCUGACGCUGAGGCGCGAAAGCUAGGGGAGCAAACAGG